GUCCCUCUACCUUUAUAUGAACCUUUUCUAACAUAUAAAUAAUAUUUUUGCAUAGAUAUCCUAUGCUUUUUAUCCUCUCUCACUCCCUCCCUCCCUUCCUUCCUUCAUCUCUUAAAUCAAAACAAAAUCUAAUAAGAGGGCUGCCUGUGCUUUCCAUUUAUUGACUUAGAAUCAUGAGGAACUGCAGCAGACAGUGUCCGAGCCCCACCUGUAUCUUUCUUUCAUCUUCAUCAUUUUGGUGCAUCUGCCCAACUUCCAAUUGCUGGCACCUGCACUUCGUUGCUUAUGGGCUCUCCCUGGUCACCAGAGGCUGCUUGGUUUACCUGAGCAGUGGGCUGGAAGUGCUAAUGCCCCUCCUGAGAGCAGCCUUCAAGUCAUGAGUGAUGAGAAUCGAUGUAUAUGGCAUCCAAAAAAAAUGGCCCGCUCACAGAGACCACAUUCUAAUCUCCUAAACCUAUGAAUAUGUUACCUUAUAUGCCAAAAUUAUUCUGCAGAUGAAACUAAGUUAAUUAUCUUAAGAUGGAAGUUUAUUUUGGAUUAUUUAGGUGAGCCCAGUCCUGUCAUAGAGUCCUUAAAAAUGGAAGAAGGAAGUCACAAUCACAGGGAAAUUUGAAGAUGCUGUGCUGUUGGCUCUGAAGAUGGGUAAGAGGACAGCCAAGGAAUGCAAGUGGCCUCUGGAAGCUAAAAAGACAAAGAAAUAGAUUCUCCCAGAUGCAGAGACUAGAACUUCCAGAUGCAGCCCUGCCGUCACCUUGGUUUUAGCCUAGUGUGACACAUUUUGACCUCUGGAACUGUAAGAGAGUAAAUUGUGUUAUUGUAAGCUGCCCUGUUUGUGGCAGUUGGUUACAGGAGCAAUAGGAAACGAGUAAAAUGGUUACAUGCACCAGCUGCCCUGUCCUUGAGUGGGAGGGCUCUGAGGCCUAUGCUUCAUGCUGGCUCGCAGAGUUCCUGGAACUGGGGGCUAAGUUCCUUCUCUCCGGUGGUAACUCUCUAAAGAAAAAACCACUUACUAGCUUCCUUCACAUUCCUGCCUAACUUUUUCACUCCCAUACUGUGUUGGAAACACCUCCAAAUAAAUAGCUUGCCCUCAAGUCCUUGAAUUGAAAUUUGCUUCUGGAAAAACCCAACCUGAAACAGAACUUGAGAUGGCUUUGGUGAUAGACUGAUGUAGGGUCUUGUUUAAAUUCUUCAAGUUUGGAUUGAAGAAGAGAGUUUGAUAUUUAUCAUACACUGUUACUGUUUCCAAGGUGCAGUGAUGAGGGGCCUUGGGAAAUGGGUAGAAGCCUGAAACUCAGGUGGUGACAAAACAUAGUCUCUGCCUUGUUUUUCCCCCUUCUUUGGAUGUGUUCCUUGUGUGGUUCUUUAGGACUUAGGAUAAGACUCUGUGUUGUGAGUCUCCAGAAGUGAUUCCCAGGGCUACUAGGGACGGUGAAUCUGAGGUGGAAGUUUAAGGCAGAUACUGUAGAUUGGCUCACUCUGCAUUAGGGUUUCAUAACUUUGGCACCAUUGACAUUUUGGGCUGGAUAAUCCUUUGAGGGCUGUCCUGUGCUUUGUAGGAUGUUUAGCAACAUCCUUGGCCUCUAUCCUCUAAAUGUUAUUCUCACCCCCACCUCAGUUGUGACAACCCAAAAUGUCUCCAGGCAUUGUCCUGGAGGGACAAAAUCACCCGUCGGCAGUAACCAUUCCUCUGUGUAACCUCAACUCUUUUUUUCUCCUGCCUUCCGGUACUCUGGAGGAAGGCAAAUGAAGAUCGCAUUCCCCAGACUCCCUUGUAGUCAGGAUUCUGUGUGUGAGACUUGGAACAUGGCAGUGAACAUCAUGGGACAGCAGCCAAGUGACUUUUCUGACAAGCACUGUCAUUGAGGCUUUGUUUUGUUCUGCUUCUAGAACAGUAGCAGUGAUGGACUAGUCUCUGGCUUCACAGGCAUUGAGUGCAGUGGCAGAAGUGUGGGUUUUUUUUUUCAGCCCUACUGGAUAACUGGAUAUUUCUCUUUACUGUAUUUCUUCUCUUCAUAUAACAUCUAAGUUGGUUUCCUGGCACUUCAAAAAAUUUGAAAUGAAUCCUUUUCUGAUUAAACUAGCUAUAGAUGAUUUUAUUAUUUGAAACACAGUCAUUCUUACUGGGACUGUGUACAAGGAGCUUCACAGCCUUAACUGUGGCUUUGGCUUCAUGAAGGAAGUGGAGAGAAAGAUACUAAGGAUUCAGAUGUUGUAGACUAGAAAACUUGUAAACCUGGUUAUAUGAUGUCAAAUCAUCCUUGGAUGGCAGAACCCAUGCUGGCUAAGCUUGUAACAUUAACCAAAAAGAUAGGAAACAUUCAAAACGUUAGUGUGUAUGUGCUGAUUCUUGCUGCUUUCAGCAAAGUCCUGCAAGAUACAGAUUAACUCAAACCAAAGGUAGAAGGAAAUAGCACUUGGCUAGGAGAGGCCAUGGACCUGUUGCCUGCAAUCUAAGGAGACUGCGUCUUUAGUAAUUUGGAAUCUUGCAGAGUUAAAAAAUUCAACUGUGGUGUUUACUCAAAUGAAUUGAAAAAUUAGGUCCAUACAAAAACCUGCACACAGAUGAUCAUAGCAGCCUUAUUCGUAAUUGCCAAAACUUGGAAGUAGCCAAGAUGACCUUCAGUUGAAUGAAUAAACUGGGAUACAUCCAGACAAUGGAAUAUUAUUUAGCAUUAAAAAUAAAUGAGCUAUCAAGCUAUGGAAAAACAUAGAUGAAGCUUAAAUACAUAUUAUACUAAGUGAAAUAAGUCAAUCUGAAAAGUCUGCAUCCUGUAUGAUUCUAACUAUAUGACAUUCUGGAAAAAGCAAAACUAUGGCCACAGUGUUUACCAGGGUUAGAGGGGAGGAAGAGGGAGGUGCAUAGGCAGAGCAGUGAUUUUUAGGGCAGUGAAGCUACUCUGUAUGAUACUAUAAUGGUGGAUAAAUGUCAAUGGAUACUUUUGUCAAAACCCAUAGAAGGUACAACACCUGGAGUGAACUGUAGUAUCAACUAUGGACUUUGGGUGAUAAUGAUCUGUCCAUGUUUGUUCAUCUAGUGUAACAAACGUUCUACUCUGGUGCAGGAUAUUGAUGGUGGGAAAGGCUGUGCUUUUGUUGGGGAAGGAAGUAUAGGGGAACUCUGUACUUUCCACUCAGUGUUGCUGUGAACCCUAAAACUGCUCUAAAGAAUGAAGUCUAUUUUAAAAAAUCAACUUUUCUUACCUCAGUAGUAAAGGCUACGGUAAAACUGCAGCCUUAGAAGGAGAUAAAUUUCUGAUCUCAAGUUUUUUCAGGCAAGUCUCUUAAGAGUUCUUUGCCUGAUAAUGGCAGCUAGCUCACUGAUAAAGAUCAGAUUAAGAAUUAGGGGGGAGGGUAUAGCUCAGUGGUAGAGGAUGUGCCUAGCAUGUAGGAGAUGCUGGGUUCCAUCCCCAGUACCUCUGUUAAAAAUCAAUCAAUCAAUCAAUAAACCUAAUUACACCCCCCCACACAAAAAAAAGAUAAAAAAAGAAAAGAAGAAUUACCUUCCCGCAUAAUCCUCUUUCAAAUAGUCUCAGGAUAGCUCUCAUUGACUGAGAGCUAGAGGAUGGACAAAGUGGCCAGUAAAUAAGUGAAUCUUCUGGCUUAAAAAUCCACAACUAUACAGGCUCCUUUACUGUGGUUAUUUGUGUAUGAAACUUAUUGAAAAAUAAUAGAAAGAAAUCCAACUAGAUUUUUGAGGGAACCCCAAGACUAGCUUGUGACUAUUAAACACCAACACUCUACCUGGACUCUGACUUGCACAAACAGGAAGCAGAAGGGUGAAGCUGUGCAUUUCCCAAAGUCAUCCUUUCCAAUGCCCCCCUCAGCUGUGGUCAUAAAGGAAAAAGGACCAAUGUAGUAGGAGCCAUGAUGCACUAUCCAGAUCCCCUUUAGGAUGAAAGGACUUAAUUCUUUAGCUGCUGGAAGCGUUCUUAGCUGAGAUUCCUCAGCUGUCAGUCUUGUCUGGGUAAUUGCUGGAGAGAAGUACUUCACCAAAGGACACACUGCCUUUCCUGGAGACAACCUACAUGCAAGACUUGUCAGUGCAGAAUGGACUCAAAAUAAUUCAGAACACCUUACAAACACAAGGAAUGCCUCAGGACCACCCUCCCAGGAGGAGAUGGCAGACAGACAACAGGUCCUUUAUAGUUUGCUUCCUUUGAGAAGUUUGCCUCUACUCAUUACCUGUUUCUUCCCAUUCUGCUGCCUUAGAAGCACCGAGCAGCAUCAUAGCAUCCCAGUCAUCCACACCCCCAUCUAAAUGAAAAUCUAGUGUUCCCAGAGGAAACUCAUCAUGUCUGUACUUACUGCUGCCAUAAAGACAUGCUUGAACUGAAACCUCAUUCGACAAUAAUGCAUUUGAAAAACGUGGGUUUGGCUAUGAUGGGAACGGUAUGAUAUUUGGAAAACAAUUCUUUUCUGCUUUUGUAAGAAUUCACUGGAUGUCACUAGCGAACACUUAAACACGGUAAGAGAGAGAUGUAUGGCGAAUCUCGGUCUGUCUCUGGUCUGAACCACCUCUGUGCUCUCGCUUUCCUUUUUCCCCUCUGCCAUCUCAUCGAAUCCCUUUUCCCACAAAAGCAGCCACUGUGUAGCUAUAGAAACUAAGCUGGACAGAGCAACCCUUAUUUCUGCCAUAAGAGAAAGCCUUGUCUGAGCAAAAGUGCUUCUGGUGUUCUGUGGUGAGGACUUCCGGAGCCGAGAACCCUUCUCGGGAUCCCAAGGGAAUCCUCUGUAAUUCCAGCUCCACCUCUGCCACUCCAAGCCUCUUUUGAAAGUGAACUAGGCAGUAGGAGAUCCUGAUGAUGUAGGUGAGAGGACAGCCGUGUGUGUGGCAUCGAGUGCAGAAUGUCCCCAGAACAAGGAUUUCCAGGCUCUUAAAAAUGAUGUGCUAGACCCUGCCCCUUCCUCUUGGAUACACUGGAGUGAGAAGUGAAGAACCAAGGAACAAAAUGGGCAGCAUGGAUUCUCACAAGCUAAGGUGUGAGUGCCACACUAGUCACAGCAAAUAAACAAGCCCAAACUAGCAAUAAUGCUAUCAGUGGCGUGCGAGUGGGUGAGCAUGGGUGGGGAGGGCGUCCCACCUCUGCCUAGGGACCGAAUUUCAACCUAGUGAUCUGCUUCCAUAGCCCAUAUUCUUCCCACGACCAUAACUUGCAGGGAAUUGAGGAUGAAUUUUAUUUUGUGCUGUUCGUUUACCUCUUUUGGUUUCUUAUUUUUCUUUUUGAAUUCCAGGGGAACAAGAAAAGCCUUCUGACACAACAGGAAGGGAAAUUAACCUGUUCUUCCAUGGAUUUUCCUACAUGAGAUUUAUACCUCAUUCUGUGCUUCCUCAGCAUUUUGGAUUAUAAUUCUUUGUGUCUUGAGAGCAGCCUGACUCCUUCAUCCACCCACAUCUUGAAGGCAGGGGUUGUAGACUUCAUCUAUAUUACCAAGGAUAUGGAAUUUCUACUCUUAUUCAAUGGCCUUCCAUGCCUGUGUUCCUAUUUCUACUUUAUAUAUCUACCAUCUCAAUGUUCAAAGCUUGCUUAUAGAAUUACUUCUGAUUAUUUAUUCAAAGUCUGACCAAACAGACAUUUUUAGACUAGAUUUUGCAUUAAUCUUAUCUAAAGGUCCUUUUGUCCUAAGUUUGGUCUCCCCUUAAUGUUCUAGUCCUGUUUCAGUCUCCAGACUUAUAUUCCCUUAAACCUAUCCCCAGGUUAAACCAUCCAUCUGUGUAUGUGUUGGGAAGAAGCUGAUUCAAGAUGUUAGGUGUAGCUAUGCCUCUGGUUGGCAGAGAAAUGAGAUGCUUGGAAUGGCCUCUGGAAAAAAAAAUUAAGAGCAUAAAUGAAAUCUUCAUUUCCGAAAAUAAUUAAAGACUAACAUAUUAUUGUAUCUCCUCUGUUCCUAGCACUAUGAAAGCAAUUGUGGGUCUUAAUUACCAGGCUAUCAGAUUUGGAGUAUUUUUAAUAGACAUUAGGGAAACCGUUGAAUGGUUUGUGUAUGAGGCAUUUACCUUAACCUCUCUGGGUACCAACUUUUCAAAUGAAAAAUGAAGAUCAAAAUAAAAAAAUUGUCAGUAGAGCUAUCCUUCUUAUUGUGCCCAUGACAGUAUUUACAGAGAGUUCUCCAUGACAUUCUAAGAAACCAGUUCUGUUGAUUAGAAUUUGUCUUCAAGACAAAACCUAUAUGCCAUACCAGGGCUGGAUGGUCAUUUGCUUCUCUUAUGAUGCUUGCAUUCCAAGUCUCUGAUUCUAUAACAAGCCUGAGGAAGGACAAAAAAGAUGUGUAGUUCAUGAUUUCUGCUUGGUAGGAACAUGCAAUUUGGGUGGGAGGAAAGAAAAAAUAAAUUAAGAGGAACUGUGUACAUAUUUAUCAAGUGUAAGACUUAGCUACUAGUAGUCAAAAAAAUUUUAGUUAAUAUUACAAAAUUCCAAGAGAUGAGGAUUUAUAUGGUCUGAAUAUUUUUGUCCUCCAAAUUCAUAUGUUGAAACCUUCACCCACAAAGGUGAUAAUAGUAGAUUGGGGCCAUUGGAAGGUAAUUAGGUCGUGAAGGUGGAGCCGUUAUGAAUGGGAUUAGUGCCUUGUAAAAGAAACCUCCAAGAGAUCUGUAGCCACUCCCACCAUGUAAAGACCCAAUAGGCAGUUUCUGCAAUCUGAAGACGGCCCUCACCGGAAACAUACUGGCACCCUGAUCUUGGACAUCUAGCCUGCAGAACUGUGAGAAAUAAAUUUUUAUUGUUUAUGAGUCACCUAUUUUAUGAUAUUUUGUUAUAACGUACCAAUUGGACCAAGACAAGGAUGUUUCAUACACGAUAAAACUCUUAUCCCCAUUAAAGUGUAUAUAUUCAACAACAGGAAGUGACAGCUAUCUCUGUAUCUUUUUAAAAACCAUUUAAAAAGAGAAUGAAAAAAGGUCAUUUUAAAAAAAUGUUUUUUAAGCCUGAAUAGGAAGUGAAAUCAAUCUGAUUGAUAUAUCAUAUUUAGGCUACUGUAGGAGCCUGGCCAGAGUUCUCUACUGGGCUUCUUCAUGUUAACAUCCAUCAGAAUGUUCAGCCAGAGAUGGUAAAAGAAGGUGGUUCCAUGGGUAUAAACUGCCAUUCAUCUUUACCUUUAAUGUUCCUUCUGGGGCUUAUAUGGGGGGAAUAGAUUUAGCCUAAAUAUGUCAGAGGGAUGUAGUUAAAGGACUGGACCUCAGACAAACCUAAGACCUGAACUUAAAGAAGGAUAAUCCUCAGAAAUUGAUCUUGAACUCACCUGAUGGAAAUGUCUUGGGAUUUCUUUAUACCAGUUAUUUGUACAUGGUGAGUGGGUAGGCAGAUAAGCUAGAAACUGCAGAGAAGUCAGGCAGGAGAGGGUACCAGGAGGGUCUGAAGUUUACUCCUGGCUUACAACUCCAACAAUAACAAAGAUUCAUUUUUACUCUGGUAGAUUUCUCACUCAAAAUGGGUAGAAUCAUUUAUAGCUUAUGCAACUACUGAGGUAUUUAGAGGCUUAGGAUGAAAAAUUCUGCCAGGGGAAAUGCUAUAUUGCAACUCUGAGUGAUUUGUAACUGUACUAAAAGUACUCAGUGUUCUUUAAAUGGUUUGUUAUUUUCUCUUCUGAGCUAUGUCUCCCUGUUCUUGGAAACUGAUUUAGAUUUAUUUCUCAGGCAGCUGGAAUAUUUUCUUCCAGUAAGGUAAAUGGGUGGUAUGCUUUUUUUUUUAAUCCGUCUAUGUCUGAGAGUGUGUUUAUCUUGCCCUCACAUAUAAUUUGGCUGGAUACAAAAUUCUUGAUAACAUUUUUCUUUCAGAAUGAUGUAGCUACUAUUUUAAUUGGUUCUGACUUUGAGCAUUAUAGAAACAAAGUCUAUUAAAAAUAUGAUUUUUUUUCCAUUUUAGGUAACUUGUAUGUUUGUUUCUUUUUCCUGAUACAUAAUUGCAGAAAUGUUUUUUUAUCCUUGAAAUUCUGAAUUUCAAGUAGCAUUUUUCCAAGUGUGUCUUUCUUAAUUCUUCUCUACUUCUGGAAUCUCAGCUGAAAGCAUAUUUUUCCUCUUGGUGCUCUCCUCUAGUUCCCUUAUCUUUUGGCUAAUCAUAUUCCUUGCUUUUCAGUUUUCUUUGAGUUAUGGAUAAUUAGUUCCUCAUGUUUUUUAAGUCAUUGAUUUGGCAAUCUGUGGUAUCCUGAUCACUACCUCUCCUGGCUUUUUAAAAAAAUUUUAAGUAGAAAUUUUAUAGACAUAAAACAUUCAUAAAGAAAAAAAAAGCACAAAUAAUAAGUGCAAAGGUCAUUGAAUUUCAAUUGUAUGUCUUCAAGUAAUUGAAACUGAGUCCCCCCAAAACCAAGUUCCUCUGAUAAGUUUAUGAUUAACCUCUCUAGCCAAAAUUUUAUUCCCUUUCUUGUCCAGAACCUAUUCCCCUCAAGACUGAAGAAUAUCAGACAAAAGGGGGAAUUGAAACCACAUACGAACCCCUUUGUCUCUGUCCUUUGAAGUAAAAGGCUUUUAGGUUAGUCUCCCAGGCCUCCCCGGAGUCUCGAAAGGCUGGCUCAGGAUUUAAUGGUUAGGAAAUGAGAAGAUGUACCAAGGAGAAGUAGCUGUUGGGCCGAGAAACUGGUAACAAUUUUAGACUAUAAAUCCACCACAUAGCAGAAUCACUGAACUCCCAUUUCCCUGAAGUUAUGGAUAAAGUCCCGACACACAUUCCUAAGUUGUGCCUGGGUCUUUUACGCACUGCCUGUCUGGACUCCUUGCUUGGUGCUCUGUAAUAAAUGCUGCACUUUCCUCCACCGCAACCCGGUGUCAGUAGAUUGACUUUGCUUCAUGCUGGCGCAGAGACCCAAGUUUGGUUGGGUAACAAUUUUGGUACCUCAGAUGUGGUAGCACAUCAGCCCUGGCCGGUGACAGCUCUUGGAUCCUGUCCAGCAGCUGCUUAAGCACCUUUGUCUCAGGGACAGUCCAGAGUGCUGGCCACUGACCAGGUGCUGCUGGCCCAUGGUGCUUUCAAUUCUGUGAUGAAGGAAACAAAGCUCUGGUUUUGGUCUGUGUCUGCUAAUUGACAGAGAUGGACAUUCGGGAGUCAACAGGCUUGAUGUAGGAGGAAUUCUGACCCUGAGAGGACAAAAAUAUUCCUAGGAGAAACCUUGAAGUUACAACUCUCUAUCAUGGCCGUGAAAUGCAAACACAGCCCACAUUGCCUAAGACACCUGACCUUGAGUUAAUUACCAAAACUUCAAACCAAAAGAAAAAAAAAAAAGGAGGGGAAAGAGGCUUCUUUAAACUCAAAUAAAAUAAGCAAUUUUAACUUAUUCCAACUGUUAUUUUUGGUUUUGCGUUUGUCAGAUGAAUCGCUAUGAUGUGUAAGGUCAUUACUCCCUGUCUUUCCAUUUGCAUGUUGUUUGUUGUUAAAAAGAAAGACUUUUGUUUGAGAAAGUUGAACUUGUUGGACUUCACCUAUUUAUUUUUGGCCCGCAGGAAUUAGAUUUUGUUCUUUGUGUGUGUGUUUGCAUUUGGCUUGUGGUUAAGUGUGCCCACUAUGGGAGAUUCAAAUUCAUUUCCUGAAUGCAGCCCCUUCAGUUGCGUUCCCCAGAACUGAACUGCUUUCAGUUACAAACCAAUGAAAUGUAAAAAGAUGAUUUUCCUUUGCAAUAUGGCCUGGCCAUAAUGCUCCCUAGAUUUAGGGGAAAAAGUGGCUUAUUAACGGAUCCCUAAACUAUGCUACUAUUAUACAAUUAGAAUUGUUUUCAAUAGAGAGAGAAAAAGGAGAUAAAAUUUAUAAACUAAGAAGUUUUACAUUGUAAUAUCUGAUUCAUAAAUAAGUUUUAAAAUGAAACUAUGAGAUCUCUGUCUGUCCGAAAGUACAGAUGUCUAUGUGUGAUACUAUGAUAAAUUAUAAGAGAUAAAGGGGAUAAAAGUUUUUUUAGUGAACCCUUGGGAAGUAAUUGUGUUUUAGAAAUGUCUACUUAAAAAUAAUUUUCCCAGAUGUUUGGUAAUUUGAAACUUUGGAGUUUUGCAAAGUUAAAUUAAAUGAUAAGAACUCAUUGAAUGUCUAAAUCAUUUUUAAGAUAAAAUAGUAAAACAUUGAUUGCUAGACAAGUCUAAGUUUGUCUUCUUUUGCCUUGUUAUGAGAAAAAUUAACAUGUUUUGGUUUAUUAGAUACACAUCUUGUACCACAUUAAAAAGAGAAAUUAUACUUUGAGAAAAUGUAUGCUUUUAGAGGUUAUAGACUAUGUUAAGUUUGCUGAUCAGGAAAUACUGGUAUAACAGACAGAGUCAAUUACUUGCUUCUUGGUUUUUGCUAGAGGUUAAGGUUUUUAAGGGUUAAAAAUUAUAAUAUAUGUAAUUAAACUACUAAAAUAAUAAAAAUACAUUUCAGUGUAUAAAAAAAGUAGGAUAUAUGUUGUCAGUGAUAGAAGGUAUAUAGAAUGAAAAUAAUCUGUUUAAGGCAAAAAAAAAAAAAAAAAAAAAAAAGGAGAAUAAUUUUGUCCUAAAUCUGGUUGUUUCUGGAUGGGAAAAAAAAAAUAAAUGGGAUAAACUAAUAUGGAUACAGAAAGUGAUGGAAGGUUUGUAGAAAGGAAUCUUGAGAAAAGGAUUUUGUACUUGGUCAGGAUUGACUAAGGUUAGAUUAAAUUUAAUUAAAUAAAUGAAUUUUGUUACUAACAGUAAGCUGGUACGAAACUGACUUUGGUUUUCUCUGUUAAGAGAACAAAGUUUUCUUGCUAUACUGCUUCUGGUAACACAUGGGGUGAGUUUCUUUUGAAGCAUUUUGUCAGUUUGGUGAUGUGGAAAAGUAUUGUUUCACAGUGAUCUAUAAUUCUAUUUGACCAAGUGUUUUGAAACUUUUUAAUAGUUUUUGGCAGACUUCCCAAAUAUCAAAUUCUAAUUAAAGUUCUUUGACCUCCAGCUAACUUUGGGAUGCUUCAGAAGGCCCCUGAGUCAUCUCAGAAAAAAAUAUUAAAUGGACUAGGAUUAUUUAAUAGGUUAAAUUACAUAGAAAACAUUGUCAAAUAAUAAACAUUCUUAGGUCUUACUGUGUGGGUAAAUAUCAUUAAUAUAAAUGCUCUAAAAAUUAUAUAAAAUUUCUAAAAUUUGAAUAUGUCCUGGUAUUAUGUUCUCACUUAUACUUCUGGUUAUUAUUUUAAUAUGUUGUAUGGCACAGCAACUUGGUUAAGUUUCUUUAUCAAUUAAAUUGUGCUCAGAUCUUUGUGCCUUUUUAAGUUUUUCAUCAUUCAUAGACAGUUAUUGUUUCACUCUGAUGCUUUUGCAAAAGUAAUUUAUCUUCAAGAAGAGUCAUCAAAAGGACUUUUCAACAGGUACCGAUAACUUUCAGAUCGUACUGCUGAACUAGGUAAGAAAUUUUAAAAUUUUGAUGGAAACCCUAAAGGUUUCGUAAGACUGUUAAUAACAUUUCAAUUACUGUCUUUCAGUCUGCAUUUUCCAGAUAAAAGGAAACCUCUCCCCUUAAGCUGAAUAUGAUGUAUAACAACUUGAUAAAUUAUACUUUAUAAGUAGAAUUGAAACAUUUAUCUUUUUCUCUUUACCUAAUCCCUCCAGAAAUGGAAAACUCUUAGGUUCCCAGCUGCCUAAUCAGGUGAACAAGGAAGGUCACCUCCUGACAGAUGCAAGAAUCUGAAGAUAUUUUGAGGACCUUGAGAAGAGAGGAAUUCACAGGCAGAAUCUGUGACAAGCCCUCGGCAUGGCUUUUUAGGCCUUGAGUAAUCUUUUAAAAGUUCAGUCUAAGAUUAGUUAUGAAGAAUUCCAGCACAACCAAUUUAUUAUUAUUAUUUUUUUUUACUAAUUUCAUCUGUUUCUUUUUACUUUUUGUUUGUUUGUUUUGUCUUUUUGAGGCGGGGAUGGGAGGUAAUUAGGUUUUGUUUAUUUAUUUAUUUUUCAGUGGAGGUACUGGGGAUUGGACCCAGGACCUUGUGAAUGCUAACCACAUACUCUACCACUGGGUUAUACCCUCCCCACCCUUGGCACAGCCAAUUUAAAAGAGCCUAUAUGAUCAACUAAUCAGACUUAUUUGGCAAACAAAGUAGUCUUAACUUGGCUAUAUCUGAUAAAAAUGAAGGUAAUUUUAGAGAAAAAAGAUUAUGUUUCAAUGGAUAUUAAAUUCUAUUUUUGUUAAAUAAGGUCAGUAGUUGCUGCCUGAGACUCCCUUUCCAAAUAGACCUUUGUUGCUAUGUUAUGUUAUUGUAAAGUUUAAUUAAGUUCUUAAGAAGAUAUUCUAAGCUUGUUUCUGAAGCUGAUCAAGGUAAUCUAUCUUUGGAUGAAGAUCAGAUGGCCCAUGAGCUACAACAAGGGGAUUAUGCAUACUGGAAAAAGCAUUAUUUAAAGGACUGUCUCCAACCUAGAUAAAAGGACUCUUGUCAAAUAUUCUUAAGUACCUCAUACACAGUGAAACUGAAAGAAAUUAACUCUUGAAUUCAUACUUCCCACUUAAGAAGUUCCUCUAUAUUGGACUGGUCAAUAGAAAGGACUGCUGACCUCAAAUAACACCCACAACAAGACAAGAAGAUGAGAGCAAUGUUAGACAGCUAAUGCAAGAAUCCACACCAGGCCAGUAAGACCUAUCAUACUAAUUUAAUUGAACUAUUUACUAAAUGUUUGUUUCCCUAUCAACAUUGAAAGUUAUUGUUUUACUUCUAGCUAUACUAUUGCCCCUAGUGUUUAGGAUGAAAAAAAAAAUGUCUAAUAAAGUUAUCACAGAGUGUCACUACUCAUGGCAUAUA